UACGGGGGGGGCAAGCGUUGUUCGGAAUUACUGGGCGUAAAGGGCGCGUAGGCGGCCUUCUAAGUCAGACGUGAAAUCCCCCGGCUUAACCUGGGAACUGCGUCUGAUACUGGGAGGCUAGAGUAUGGGAGAGGGAUGUAGAAUUCCAGGUGUAGCGGUGAAAUGCGUAGAUAUCUGGAGGAAUACCGGUGGCGAAGGCGGCAUCCUGGACCGGCAUUGACGCUGAGGAGCGAAAGCCAGGGGAGCAAACGGG
rnacentral:rRNA from 1 species